rnacentral:rRNA from 1 species
UACGUAGGGGGCAAGCGUUGUCCGGAAUCAUUGGGCGUAAAGGGCGGGUAGGCGGCCACCGCAAGUCAGUUGUGAAAUCUCUGGGCUUAACCCAGAAAGGUCAACUGAUACUGCGGGGCUAGAGUGCAGAAGGGGCAACUGGAAUUCUCGGUGUAGCGGUGAAAUGCGUAGAUAUCGAGAGGAACACCUGCGGCGAAGGCGGGUUGCUGGGCUGACACUGACGCUGAACUGCGAAAGCUAGGGGAGCGAACGGG